ACAACCAUAGAUAUUUUUCUUCUAAUUUGGCUCCCGUUCCUCCAACAGGGAGCAAGACCUGCCAGCAGAGAUUAACCACAUGCAGGGGACGCUGAACACCUUGCAGGGGCAGUGUAUUGAGUUGCAGACUGCCAUAUCUAAGGUAGUGUCAGAUGAGUCUCAGAUACAGAAGAAUAAGUCUAUGAUGUUAUGGUGAUAAUGAUUGAGAUGGUGAUUAUAAUAAUGAUGACUAACGGUACCCCACCCUGCGGGCGGUAAAUCAUUGGAUCUGAUUAAUUCAAUUCAAUGCAAUUCAAUCUUAGAGGACUGCAACCAUAGAAAUACAAUGUAUUUACACUAAUAAUAAGCUAUUGUCAACUUCCCGUCUAUGGUUAUCUUGCUCAUUGCUCACUGUCAAUUGCUGAUUGUUACCCUGUGUGUGCAACUAUUAUUGAUUUCUCACAGAAAAAUUAUUUGUUUGCAAAUGUACCUGGGGCCAUGUAAAUAAUUGUUAGGCUACUCAUUUUGAAUCCACCGGUGGCAACUUGUGUGACCAUAAAAGUCUGUGUGCGACUGGGCACAGUAAAAUAAUUUGGUUACUGACCUGCCCUACAUCAUAGAAGGCCCUUCAAGUCGGAACUAGGAAAUUCUGACAUUUCUGACUCGCUAACUCGUUAUGGAAUGAUGAUUUCAAGUUUCCCACUUGUGAAGUAUGAGAAUCAACCAGUAGGAAGCUCUACACUAAUAUUUUACAUUCAUUUCAAAUCUGAGGUUCCAAGUUUCCGAUGGCAUGUGAAUUUUUCAAUAGUUGCCAUGGUAAUUUUGAAUGUUCAGUCAGUGGUAAAGCAACACUCACAGUGUGAUGGAGAGAGGUAA
rnacentral:lncRNA from 1 species